GCCCGAGAGCGAGGCGGAGACGAGGAGGCCGCGGGGACGGGAGGCGAGGCCGGCCGGGCCCCCGCAGCCAUGGAGAACGCGCACACAAAGACGGUGGAGGAGGUGCUGGGCCACUUCGGUGUCAACGAGAGCACGGGGCUGAGUCUGGAGCAGGUCAAGAAGCUCAAGGAGAGAUGGGGCUCCAACGAGUUACCGGCUGAAGAAGGAAAAACCUUGCUAGAACUAGUGAUUGAACAGUUUGAAGACUUACUAGUUAGAAUUUUAUUGCUGGCAGCAUGUAUAUCUUUUGUUUUGGCUUGGUUUGAAGAAGGUGAAGAAACCAUCACAGCCUUUGUAGAACCUUUUGUAAUUCUACUUAUAUUAGUAGCCAAUGCAAUUGUAGGUGUGUGGCAGGAAAGGAAUGCUGAAAAUGCAAUCGAAGCCCUCAAGGAAUAUGAGCCUGAAAUGGGCAAAGUGUAUCGGCAGGACAGGAAGAGUGUGCAGCGGAUUAAAGCUAAAGACAUAGUUCCUGGGGAUAUUGUAGAAAUUGCUGUUGGUGACAAAGUUCCUGCUGAUAUAAGAUUAACUUCCAUCAAGUCUACAACUCUAAGAGUCGACCAGUCUAUUCUCACUGGUGAAUCCGUUUCAGUCAUCAAGCACACUGACCCUGUCCCUGACCCACGGGCUGUCAACCAAGAUAAGAAGAACAUGCUUUUUUCUGGUACAAACAUUGCUGCUGGGAAAGCCAUGGGAGUGGUGGUGGCAACUGGAGUUAACACUGAAAUUGGCAAGAUCCGAGAUGAGAUGGUGGCCACGGAACAAGAGAGAACACCGCUUCAGCAGAAACUGGAUGAAUUUGGGGAGCAGCUUUCCAAAGUCAUCUCGCUCAUUUGCAUUGCAGUCUGGAUCAUAAACAUUGGGCACUUUAAUGAUCCAGUGCACGGGGGCUCCUGGAUCCGAGGUGCUAUCUACUACUUUAAGAUUGCAGUGGCACUGGCUGUUGCAGCCAUCCCUGAGGGUCUACCUGCUGUCAUCACCACCUGCCUGGCCCUCGGAACUCGAAGAAUGGCAAAGAAAAAUGCCAUUGUUCGAAGUCUUCCGUCUGUGGAAACCCUUGGGUGUACUUCUGUUAUCUGUUCGGACAAGACUGGUACACUUACUACGAACCAAAUGUCAGUCUGCAGGAUGUUCAUUCUGGACAAAGUUGAAGGUGAUACUUGUUCCCUUAAUGAGUUCACCAUAACUGGCUCAACAUAUGCACCCAUGGGAGAAGUGCAUAAAGACGAUAAGCCAAUAAAAUGUCAUCAAUAUGAUGGUCUUGUAGAAUUAGCAACCAUUUGUGCUCUGUGUAAUGACUCUGCUUUGGAUUACAAUGAGGCAAAAGGUGUGUAUGAAAAAGUUGGAGAAGCUACAGAGACUGCUCUCACUUGCCUGGUUGAGAAGAUGAAUGUAUUUGAUACUGAACUGAAGGGUCUUUCUAAAAUAGAACGUGCAAAUGUCUGCAACUCGGUCAUUAAACAGCUGAUGAAAAAGGAGUUCACUUUAGAGUUCUCACGGGACAGGAAGUCAAUGUCUGUGUACUGCACGCCAAACAAGCCAAGCCGGACGUCCAUGAGCAAGAUGUUCGUGAAGGGCGCUCCAGAAGGUGUCAUCGACAGGUGUACCCACAUUCGAGUUGGGAGUACCAAGGUCCUUAUGACCCCUGGAGUCAAACAGAAGAUCAUGUCCGUCAUUCGGGAGUGGGGCAGCGGCAGUGACACCCUGCGGUGCCUGGCCCUGGCCACUCACGACAACCCACUGCGCAGAGAAGAGAUGCAUCUGGAGGACUCUGCCAACUUCAUCAAGUAUGAGACAAACCUGACCUUCGUCGGCUGUGUGGGCAUGCUGGACCCUCCCAGGAUCGAAGUGGCCUCGUCGGUGAAGCUGUGUCGCCAGGCAGGCAUCCGUGUUAUCAUGAUCACAGGGGACAACAAGGGCACCGCCGUGGCCAUCUGUCGCCGCAUUGGUAUUUUUGGCCAGGAUGAAGAUGUGACAUCAAAGGCUUUCACAGGUCGGGAGUUUGAUGAACUCAGUCCCUCAGCUCAGAGGGAUGCCUGCUUGAAUGCCCGCUGCUUUGCCCGAGUCGAGCCCUCCCACAAGUCUAAGAUUGUGGAGUUCCUACAGUCCUUUGAUGAGAUCACGGCCAUGACUGGCGAUGGUGUGAAUGAUGCUCCUGCUCUGAAGAAGGCUGAGAUUGGCAUUGCCAUGGGCUCUGGCACUGCGGUGGCUAAGACCGCCUCUGAGAUGGUCCUGGCCGAUGACAACUUCUCCACCAUCGUGGCUGCUGUGGAGGAAGGGCGGGCCAUUUACAACAACAUGAAGCAGUUCAUCCGCUACCUCAUCUCGUCCAACGUGGGGGAGGUGGUCUGCAUUUUCCUGACAGCAGCCCUUGGGUUUCCUGAGGCUUUAAUUCCUGUCCAGCUGCUCUGGGUCAAUUUGGUCACAGAUGGCCUGCCUGCCACUGCACUGGGGUUCAACCCUCCUGACCUAGACAUCAUGAAUAAACCACCCCGGAACCCGAAGGAACCACUGAUCAGCGGGUGGCUCUUUUUCCGUUACCUGGCUAUUGGCUGUUAUGUUGGUGCCGCUACUGUGGGUGCUGCUGCAUGGUGGUUCAUCGCUGCCGACGGGGGGCCCAGAGUGUCCUUCUACCAGCUGAGUCAUUUCUUACAAUGUAAAGAGGACAAUCCGGACUUUGAAGGAGUGGAUUGUGCGGUCUUCGAGUCCCCAUACCCAAUGACGAUGGCACUCUCUGUCCUAGUGACCAUAGAGAUGUGUAACGCCCUCAACAGCCUGUCUGAGAACCAGUCCUUGUUGAGGAUGCCUCCUUGGGAGAACAUCUGGCUCGUGGGAUCCAUCUGCCUGUCCAUGUCCCUCCACUUUCUGAUCCUCUACGUGGAGCCCUUGCCACUCAUCUUCCAGAUCACACCGCUGAACCUGACCCAGUGGCUGAUGGUGCUGAAGAUCUCCCUGCCUGUGAUUCUCAUGGAUGAGACGCUCAAGUUUGUGGCCCGCAACUACCUAGAGCCUGGUAAAGAGUGUGUGCAGCCUCCCACCAAAUCCUGCUCGCUCUCGGCAUGCACCGACGGGAUCUCCUGGCCGUUCGUGCUGCUCAUGGUGCCCCUGGUGGUCUGGGUCUAUAGCACAGACACUAACUUUAGCGAUAUGUUCUGGUCUUGACUGACAGCUCUCCAUGCAGAAGAUGUCUAACUUAAUUUUUUAUUGUUUAAAGCAACUGUCUAUUUCUGCUGAAUUUUCACAUGAACAUACUGGCUGGUGAAGGAGGUUUCAUACUCUAGAUUUUUGUUUUGCUUUUUCUGACUCCAGUGGGGCUCAAGAUUUUCCUUUUUUAUACACAUAAUUAAAGUGUCCAUUGACAUGUACAGAGAACUAACACUAUUUUAUGCAAAUAUUUUUUUGUAGAUGAAAAAGCAUGUACAGUGUUCUGUUUAAUACUCAUCCUUGUAUAAAAAUAGUUGAGCCAGCAGACAUUGUCAGCAAGUUAAUUGGCAGCAGAUUUUAGGAAAUGAAUGUGUGUGGUUUUUUUUAAAAAACUAAAUAAGCAUGUAUUGUCUUUGCAUGAUUACCUGGAUUUAAUUUGAUAUCACAGUCUAAUUUUUAUUCAUAAGCCAAUUUUUCUGCACUGAGCAGAGUCCGCUACCUCAGUCAGUAUUCUUUGGUUUGCCACCCCCCUCAGCCCUCACCGUGCCCUCCCCCGCCGGCCCUCCCGAGGUAUGCCCGGCUCCUGUGCAGAAAACCUGGCUCCACGUUCAGUCAGCUGGGGUCGAGUCCCGCCAGAGUUUUUAAGGUUAUUUAUUUAAACGUCUAAUGUACUUUAUUGUAACAGACAUUGUUUCGCCAACAUCGCCUACUUCAACGGCACUUCACAAUCUAGUUUUAAAAGAAAAAUAAAACAUUUUAAAUGGACAGAGAAAAAUAACUGUCUUGUUCUUAAGUGGCCUAUCCUGAGCUGUCCCUAGCCAGUCCCCUCCCUCCCGAGCUUAGUUCAGGGGGCCUGCUCUGCUGCGCAGGGAGUCCGGAGUCUGGCUUCACUGUGGGCACGAAUGUCACCGGGGUUUUCUGCAGGUUUCUGCUGGCUCGGUGUAGGACCGUGAGGGGGAGUGCGUGUGCAUCUGUGCGUGUUUUGUAAAAUCUGUAAAUAACACAUGACCAAAUGAACAUACUGUAUAGAACUAUUUUUAUUUGAUGUGACACUAACCACCACCGUGGUCAUCUGAGAAGCGUUUGCGCAUGUCAAGCUCAGUCUUCGGCAGCGUGUGCGUCCUUAACAGCCCUAACUGUGGUGUUUUCCUCCAAUGCUUCCAUCGUCAUCAACUAACCCAUACUGGAGUAACGGCUUCCUAGACUGUUGUGCAGAAAUGUAAGGGUGUUCCGUGCGUCGGUUGCAUGCAUGUGCGUUUGUAGCAGUACACCUAGCCCUCUGCAUGACUGACGUUGGGGAAAAAGAAAAGGAGAAAAAGCUCCCAACUCAUUGUGUGUAAUGUGGAGGAAACGUGUAUCACCAGUGAUUUUAGCUUUUAAAUCAGAAUGAUGUUCACAAAUGUACAACUUAAUGAACUCCGAAAGCCUCUCCAGAGAAGUUUGGUUUCUUUGCUGAAGACUGAGCGUCUGAAACCUUCUCCGCAAGCCCCGAAGGUGCCAGCCGAGUCUCCACGUUCCUCUGCCGUGUCCCGCUCCUCGGUGUACAGUACCGAGCUUGUGCAUGCCUUCCUGUGAGUAGCUGGAUUCCUCAGCGGUGACUGUGAGGCCUGCUACUUUUUAAUUGGCCCUGUACAGUUUGCUUAUUUAUAAAUUCCUUAAAAACACUACCGGUGUUGAGCGGUUAGAGUGUAGGCCUUCCGUUCAUAACCAGCUGUGUUGGAGUGUGCAUAGACCGCUAUUUCACCCUGUAGUAAAGUAACUUAUUUAAUGAAAUCUGAGGCAGUAGGCAGAUGUUGGUGCAAUACAAGUAUUGUGAUGCAUUUCCCCUAAUCAGAUGCUAAGCGUCAGGUAUCACAGCGCAUGUUUGGCUAGACUGUAAAUAAAGGUCGAGUUUUCCUUCUGUGCUGGUAAUGACAGCACUGCACAGACGUGGUUUCCAGUAAAUAAAUCUAUUCUAUGAUACCA